rnacentral:lncRNA from 1 species
ACAACGUUGUUGUAGCUUUGUUCUCAGAAUCAAGUAGUUCACAUCUAUGAAAAUCGAAUCAUUCAAAAUUUAUUUUUAUUACAUGUAACUCUUUGGGGGACAAAGUGGGGACAGAGUUUGGCAGUAGUUGGGGUCAAAUCCAGGGCCCCAUACAUAGAGCAAGCUCUCUGCCACUGAGUUACACACACACACACACACACAGACACACGCUCCCUUGCUUAUUUUUAACAUUAUUUAUUUGGGGUGUUUGUGUUUACUUGUGGAAACCAGAGGUAGACAUUGGGUGUCCGUUACUUCCUCCGUAACUCGCGGUUUUCUGUCUGGAGACAGCAUCUCCCUCUGAGCGUGGUGCUUGUUGAUGUGCUCUCUGAUUCUCUGAGCCGUCCCUCUCCAGGGCCCUUUCUUAUAUUUGGGGGCACGGUCACUCAGGAAACAUGAAGCAUAACAUUCAGCUAGAUGGGCCAACAAACCGCCAGCCAUCCUUCUGUCUUCUGCCUGUCCAGAGAAGCUGCCUUGUCCAAGUUAUUACUGAGUGAUGUGUGAGUCGGAGGGCAGCUCUUGGGAGUUCACCCUGGGGGCUGAGGAUUGAAUUCAGGACACCGGACUUGGUAGAGAAAGCAGUGAGUGCUUUCUCACUGGCUGAGCCAAGAAUGCGCACAUGCUCAUGUGUGUUCAUGCUAAAUAGCAAGCGCUUUGUUGACCAAGCUGUUGUCCUAGUCCUGCCUGGUCUCCUGUAGUCCAGGUUGUCCUUGAACUCAUUGGGUAGCUGAGGAUAACCUUGAACCCCUGAUCCUCCUGCUUUCCCCUAAACCCUGAGAUUCCAGGUAUGUGCUGCAAGCCAGGUUUUGUCUUUGCACACACACACACACACACACACACACUUGAAAUCUGGAGAGAUCUUUUUUGUGUUUUUGUGUGGUCAGGUACAAGCUACAUCACCUGAAGGUUGUGGCUGGUUUUCUUAGUUCAUUAAGCUUGGUGACAAGUGCCUCGACCCACUGAGCCAUCAUCCCAUUGCCACUGGUUCUGGCUUUUGUUUUGUGUUGGUUUUUGUUAAGUUUUAUUUUCUUUUUUGAGACAAGUUCUCAAGUCACCAGGCUGAUCUUGGAUUUACCCUAUAUGCAAGGCAGAUGUUAGACUCAUGACACACUUCCCAAGUGCUGCGAUUACAGGCACACAGUACACUACUCAGCCUCCAAGACAGGCUUAGAGAGUAUUUAUCCUAAAUACUAUUUUAUAAUAUGAUACAGCUAACUUUUUGGAGUAUUCGAAACAUGGUUGCUCUAUAACAGCCCUGGCUCUUCUGGAAUUGGCUCUGUAGACCAGGCUAGCCUCAGACUGAGAUUUGCUCACCUGUUUCCCAAGUGCUAUAAUUGAAGGUGGGCAUCACCAUUUCUGGUGGUUAACAGUAGAUGGAGAGACAGCUGUGGGUGCUCGUCUUUAAACAGCCUUCGCUCCAGUCUGAAACUAAGUUUUAAGAUAGAAAUGGAGUUGGAGCUCUGUAAUAAGAAUGCCCACUAUAGAUCCAUAAAAAGAUGCAAGGCCCUGGCUUACCUCCCAUCUUCACC